CAUGAUGAUAAUUUUUAAAAAUUUCGCUGGUCUAAUAAGAACAGAAACUGGUAGGCAAUACCAGUUUUUUAAGACAGUUAUUGCAAUCCUGUGAUGCCCCGGUGGGUGCCGUUUUGGUACUACGGAGCGUUGCUGGAAUGCAACUAUAUGACGGUCUUUUUAUGUGAUGAGUGGCCAGUAUUUAACAUGUCAUAGUUACACUGAUU
rnacentral:snoRNA from 1 species